CUCAAGUUCUGGCUGGCACAGCUGUAGUCACAGACUUAAAACAGCCAUCUCAUUCGUUUUGUGCAGUUUUACAGUUGUUUAUGGCAGAGGUGUGAUUUGGGUCCCUGUUAUCUCAUCAUGGCUAGAAGCAGAAGUUUUGGCAAAUUAUUCUUGUAUCUUUACAUUUGAAAAUUAAGGGAAAGUUUCACCCAUGGAAUAUUAGCAUUGUGACAAUGCUAAUGAGAGUUUCUCCAGAAACUAUGAUCCUGGUCAGCAGCCAGUCAUUUCAUAGAAGAUAAACUUUAAGAAUAUUCUCUGAAGAGCAAUGAAACUGAGAUAAGAUCUAACCACUGUUACCAACAACCAAGAAAAAUAGAGCCGCCUGGACAGCUUCCGUGUGGACGUCUGAAACGGAGAGAGCUCAGUCACUCAGUGCUCAGCUGAGGUCCCAGAGGCCAAGCUGCACCCUCCUCUCUGUCCCUGCAGCACAGUUCAUCCACCUUCUGAAACUCACCAACAGAUGGGUGGGCGAGGAAAGAAAAUCAGUGUUUACAAUUCCAGUAAAGACAUUAAAAUUCA
ensembl:lncRNA novel transcript